UAGAGUUUGAUCCUGGCUCAGAUUGAACGCUGGCGGCAGGCUUAACACAUGCAAGUCGAACGAUGAUUUCCCAGCUUGCUGGGAAUGAUUAGUGGCGGACGGGUGAGUAACAUUUAGGAAUCUGCCUAGUAGUGGGGGAUAGCUCGGGGAAACUCGAAUUAAUACCGCAUACGACCUACGGGUGAAAGGGGGCGCAAGCUCUUGCUAUUAGAUGAGCCUAAAUCAGAUUAGCUAGUUGGUGGGGUAAAGGCCCACCAAGGCGACGAUCUGUAACUGGUCUGAGAGGAUGAUCAGUCACACCGGAACUGAGACACGGUCCGGACUCCUACGGGAGGCAGCAGUGGGGAAUAUUGGACAAUGGGGGCAACCCUGAUCCAGCCAUGCCGCGUGUGUGAAGAAGGCCUUUUGGUUGUAAAGCACUUUAAGCAGGGAGGAGAGGCUAAUGGUUAAUACCCAUUAGAUUAGACGUUACCUGCAGAAUAAGCACCGGCUAACUCUGUGCCAGCAGCCGCGGUAAUACAGAGGGUGCGAGCGUUAAUCGGAAUUACUGGGCGUAAAGCGAGUGUAGGUGGCUCAUUAAGUCACAUGUGAAAUCCCCGGGCUUAACCUGGGAACUGCAUGUGAUACUGGUGGUGCUAGAAUAUGUGAGAGGGAAGUAGAAUUCCAGGUGUAGCGGUGAAAUGCGUAGAGAUCUGGAGGAAUACCGAUGGCGAAGGCAGCUUCCUGGCAUAAUAUGACACUAGUCGAAG
rnacentral:rRNA from 1 species